rnacentral:misc_RNA from 1 species
AUCGGCUCGCGUCAGAUUAGCUAGUUGGAGUGGUAAUGGCGCACCAAGGCGACGAUCUGUACUUGGUCUGAGAGGAUGACCAGGCACACUGGAACUGAGACACGGUCCAGACUCCUACGGGAGGCAGCAGUGGGGAAUUUUCCGCAAUGGGCGCAAGCCUGACGGAGCAAUACCGCGUGAGGGAGGAAGCUUUUUGGAGUGUAAACCUCUUUUAUUAGGGAAGAAAAGAUGACGGUACCUAAUGAAUCAGCAUCGGCUAACUCCGUGCCAGCAGCCGCGGUAAUACGGAGGAUGCAAGCGUUAUCCGGAAUUAUUGGGCGUAAAGCGUCCGUAGGUGGUCUUUCAAGUCUGUUGUCAAAUCGUGCAGCUCAACUGCAUACGGGCGAUGGAAACUGGAGAGACUAGAGUGCGAUAGGGGUCACAGGAAUUCCCAGUGUAGCGGUGAAAUGCGUAGAUAUUGGGAAGAACACCAGCGGCGAAAGCGUGUGACUGGGUCUGCACUGACACUGAGGGACGAAAGCUAGGGGAGCGAAAGGGAUUAGAUACCCCUGUAGUCCUAGCCGUAAACGAUGACAACUAGGUGUGGUUCGUAUCGACCCGAGCCGUGCCGUAGCCAACGCGUUAAGUUGUCCGCCUGGGGAGUACGCACGCAAGUGUGAAACUCAAAGGAAUUGACGGGGGCCCGCACAAGCGGUGGAGUAUGUGGUUUAAUUCGAUGCAACGCGAAGAACCUUACCAAGGCUUGACAUCCUGCGAACUUUUCUGAAAGGAGAAGGUGCCUUCGGGAGCGCAGAGACAGGUGGUGCAUGGCUGUCGUCAGCUCGUGUCGUGAGAUGUUGGGUUAAGUCCCGCAACGAGCGCAACCCACGUUUUUAGUUGCCAUCAUUCAGUUGGGCACUCUAGAGAGACUGCCGGUGACAAACCGGAGGAAGGUGUGGAUGACGUCAAGUCAGCAUGCCCCUUACGCCUUGGGCUACACACGUACUACAAUGCGUUGGACAAAGGGUCGCAAGCUAGCGAUAGCAAGCCAAUCCCAUAAACCAACGCUCAGUUCAGAUUGCAGGCUGCAACUCGCCUGCAUGAAGGCGGAAUCGCUAGUAAUCGCAGGUCAGCAUACUGCGGUGAAUACGUUCCCGGGCCUUGUACACACCGCCCGUCACACCAUGGGAGUUGGUCACGCCCGAAGUCGUUACUCUAACCGUUCGCGGAGGAGGAUGCCGAAGGUGGGGCUGAUGACUGGGGUGAAGUCGUAACAAGGUAGCCGUACCGGAAGGUGUGGCUGGAUCACCUCCUUAUAGGGAGACCUUACCCCUUCUCAUUCAACAUUGUUUGAACGAGGAGCAGGUCAUCUCAAGGUCGGUCGAAGCUUUCCACUCAGCUUGAUUCGUCAAACUGAAUUUCAAUGUGCUUCUAAACUAUCCCGGUUCAGGGAUGGGGGCUAUUAGCUCAGGUGGUUAGAGCGCACCCCUGAUAAGGGUGAGGUCCCUGGUUCGAGUCCAGGAUGGCCCACUCCACUUAUUAAUUCGACUGAUUUGGUAAGUGACAUCAAGUGCGAGAAACACAUGGGGGUUUAGCUCAGUUGGUAGAGCGCCUGCUUUGCAAGCAGGAUGUCAGCGGUUCGAGUCCGCUAACCUCCACCAACCACCCUUAAUCAACGUGGAACAAGUCAGCAACUCAUCUACUGAGUAUAGAGAGCCUGCUGGGAAUUGUUCCCAGUCAAAAAGAACCAAGAAAACUGCAUAGUACGAUGUCAGGUAGAAAUACACAGACACCAAUGUAAUU